rnacentral:lncRNA from 1 species
AUAUAUACCUAUAUACUCGAUUUCCCCAGAAAUCAAAUUUAAAUGAAAAAUAUAUUGAAAUGAAAUGAAAUAUGAUGUGAUUGCCAUGCAUAGAAUGUUAUGGAUAUUAUGAACUGUCGUAUGAUGCAUAUAUGUAUGAUGGUGCUGUGGACGCACAGGUAAGUAUUUAAUUACUGUUAUGUUGAGGAUGAUGAUAUAUUGAGCUCAUAUCCUGCACCAUGGUUUAGUGCUUAUAGUAUUCACCGCAUCGCACGCUCGCCUUGGAUCCAAGUAGAUGCUGGUCGUACAGUCCACGCGGAGUGGGUACGACGGGCCAGUCGUAGAAUGUUAGUGAGAUUAUGACUGGUGGGUGACCUUAGGUUAUUGUAUACAGAUGAUUGAUGAGAGAAGCACUUGAGCGAAUAUUACCAUGAGUCGUUCAGACUGCAUUAGGUGGUUCCGACUUAUGUGCAGAAGGCCGGACAGGUCACGCGGAGUGACUCCGGCAGAGAGUGAGAUUGAUAGAUGUUGAGCUCUAGGUUCAAUCGUUCAGGACUAUUAGAGGGCCUCCGAUUGAUUAUUUCUUUUACCUGAUUUAUAUUAUGUCAAUGCAUUCAUACUAAACUGCUGAAUUUGGCAUGGUACAUUCUUUAUUGAAUCUGCUAUAAGAUUGUUGAUCGAGACAGUUGAGAUAUAUAUGCUAUAUACUAUUUUUCUGGGAAAGUAUACAGGUUUUCCAAAAAGGGGUUAUAAAUGUGGAUUUAUGAAAUGUUUUGGAAAAGCUUUAUUUUUCGCCCACUCACGUUUUCUGUUUUUCGCCCCUCCAGGUUCUAGUUGAUAGUUGAGGCGUUGGUGGCCUACGAGGACUGCUUCGGCGUUCUGACAGACUAAAUAAAUGUAGGAUUCACCCGAGGGUGUUGUAAAAUAGUUAUGGUCCUACUUGACUGCACCUAGACGCUUAUGCUCUGUUUAUGUGUGUUUAGUACACUCUUAUGCACAUAGAAUGCUAGGUUGUAAAUAACUGCAAUUAGUGGUUUUCGUUGACUCGUAUUUUAUUAUUAAAUCGUUUCCGCUUGCGUUAUGGUUACGUCACACUCACGUGACGGCCAGCACGUUCUAGUCUUCGGGUUAGGGUGUGUCAGUUUGGUAUCAGAGCAUAGGUUGCAGUCCUGUAUAACUAGUGAUUUUACUUAUUAAUUUUUGGAUGUUUUCUGUCAGAAUUAUGCCGCCUCGUAGAGAUCCUCGCCGUGCUGCUGAGCCUAAUUUCCCCGAUAUAACUCAGCUAGGGGCAUCAAUGGCUCAAGCUUUUCAGGCUAAUAUCCGUCCUCCUCAGAGAACACCUGUAGAGACGAUGUAUAAUCUGAAAUUGGAAACCUUUGAGGGAAAUGAAGGUUAUGAAGGGGCAGAAAAGUGGUUGGAUCGGAUUGAGCAGACCUUUCAAGUGAUGCAAAGUCAAGGAAACCUGCCAGCUAAUAGAUGGGUGGAGACCACCACCUGGUUUUUGGGCCGUGAGCCAGCGGCGUGGUGGAUAAAUCAGUCGAGGCACAUGGCACCUGAAAGGACAGCCGAAUGGGAGGUAUUUAAGGAAAAUUUUAUGAAGAGAUUUGUUCCUCCGGAAUAUAUAGAUCGCAAGAAACAGGAAUUCACCAGUCUGAAGCAGAGAAAUAUGUCCGCACAUGAGUACUACAGGAAGUUUACUGAUUUAUCCCGUUAUGAUUCUGAUUUAGCGGGUAAUCAAGCAGAAAUGCUUCGUCGUUUCAAGUUAGGAUCUAAGAAGAAGUACAGAACGUUUGCCAAUGCACUUCCCUGUGCCGAUUAUCAUGAGUAUUUUGAGAUUCUGGUCCGGAUGGAAGACUCUGAUAAUCUUCCGGACAGUGAGGAUGAAGAGGAUAAGGGUAAUGGUCAGAAGAAAAAUGAGAAAGGUAAAGGUGUUUCCAUUCCAGGACCUCGUCAGAUGCAGAAUUUUAAGAAGAGUGGAAUGAGUUCUAGUUCUUCCAGUGGUGGAUUUAGUGCCACAGGUCCGAGGAGAGGAGGUGGUAGGUUUGGUAAUGGACCUAGAUUUUCUGGUCAGAGAGGCUUUGGUGGUACUGGUAGUUCGGGUUCUCCGUUAUGUCGCCGUUGUAAUUUCCGACAUUAUGGGGAAUGUAGGAGAAUCAGUGGUGCAUGCUUUACAUGUGGUCAGACAGGACAUAGAGCUAUGAAUUGUCCCCAGAAUCAGCAGAGGCCCCAGCAGCCUGUUAGGCCAACACCAGCACCGACUCAACAGAACUUUAAUUCAGGCAGUUAUGGCCAGGUUGGUCGUGGUGGUGCUUAUCAUUAUCAGGGUGAUGCUACUCCAUAUGCUCCAGGACAGUAUCACUAUUCCCAGGAUCCUUAUUCUCAGAGUGGAUAUUCUCAGGAUCAGGGAGGUUAUACUUCAUAUCCGUCUAUGCCAGCUAGCGGAUCUCAGUGGUAUCAGGGGGGUCAGCCCCAACAGAGCGGAGUUGCUGCUAGCAGUGCAGGGUCGUUUAGGCCGCCUGCCCAGACAGGUCAAGGAAGUAUUCAUCAGGGACGAGGUAAUCAGAGUGGCAGAUGUCGUGGAGGACGACAGCCAGCUCAGGGACGUGUUAACCACAUAUCGCUGCAAGAUGCUCAGAACCAUCCAGACUUGAUUAUGGGUACGUUGAAUGUUCUUGGUCAUUUUGCUAGAGUCUUGAUUGAUUGUGGUGCUACACACUCUGUGAUUUCUCAUACAUUUGCUCAAAUGACACAACCUCAUCCUUCACCUCUAGGGUUUGAUUUAGAGUUUGCUAUGCCUAGAGGGGAUAAAUGUUAUGUUGAUAGUUUUUACUCUGGGUGUCCAGUGAUGGUAGAUAAUGUCAUUAUGCCUGCUAAUCUUAUCCCGUUAGACAUCGUGGAUUUUGAUGUGAUUUUAGGGGCGGAUUGGUUGCAUUAUAAUCGCGCCCAUAUAGAUUGUUACGGGAAAUCAGUUACUUUUCUUCGUCCUGGACUACCUGAGGUUACAUUUGUGGGUGAAAGAAAUGGGGUGAGGCAUGGUGUUAUUUCAGCCAUAAGGGCAAAGAAGUUGUUAUCCAAGGGUUGUCAGGGAUACUUGGCACAUGUGGUGUUAAAUGAUGUUGAUUCCGGUAGUGUGGAGGAAGUCGGAGUAGUCAGACACUAUCCUGAUGUAUUUCCAGAUGAUUUACCUGGGUUGCCUCCAGAUAGAGAUGUGGAAUUUUCGAUUGAUUUACUUCCAGGUACGAACCCUAUCUCUUUGACUCCUUAUAGAAUGGCACCAUCGGAAUUAAGAGAGUUGAAAAUUCAAUUGCAAGAGUUAAUUGAUAAAGGUUUCAUUCAGCCUAGUUCUUCACCGUGGGGAGCUCCGGUGUUGUUUGUAAGAAAGAAAGAUGGAACUUUGAGAUUGUGCAUUGAUUACAGGCAAUUGAAUCGGGUGACGAUUAAAAACCGUUAUCCCUUGCCUCGUAUAGAUGAUUUGUUUGAUCAGCUCAAAGGUGCCUGUGUGUUUUCUAAGAUCGAUUUGAGGUCUGGGUAUUAUCAAUUAAAGAUUAAAGAUGAGGAUGUUCAUAAAACAGCUUUCAGGACUCGUUAUGGGCAUUAUGAGUUUUUGGUGAUGCCAUUUGGAUUAACGAACGCUCCUGCAGCUUUCAUGAGAUUGAUGAAUGAAGUAUUCCAGGAAUAUCUUGACAAGUUUGUUAUUGUUUUUAUUGAUGACAUCCUGGUAUAUUCUAAGUCGAAAUCAGACCAUAUUCGACAUCUUAACUUGGUGUUAAGGAAAUUGAGGGAACACCGAUUAUAUGCCAAAUUUAGUAAAUGUGAAUUUUGGCUGGAUCAAGUGGCAUUUUUGGGACAUGUGGUAUCAGCUCAGGGAAUUCAAGUGGAUCCUCAAAAGAUAGCAGCAGUGGAAAAUUGGGAACAACCUCGAACGGUCACUGAGGUGCGGAGUUUUCUUGGUUUGGCAGGUUAUUAUAGACGGUUUGUUCAAGACUUUUCUAUGAUUGCCUUGCCAUUAACGAAGUUAACCAGGAAGGAUGUUAAGUUUGAAUGGGAUGAAAGUUGUGAGCAAAGUUUCCAGCAGUUGAAGUAUUGCCUUACUCAUGCACCUGUGUUAGUACUUCCUGAUGAUGAUGGUAACUUCGAGAUCUAUAGUGAUGCUUCUUUGAAUGGUUUGGGUUGUGUUUUGAUGCAGCAUAGUAGAGUGAUUGCCUAUGCUUCUAGGCAGUUGAAGACUCAUGAAAGAAACUAUCCGACUCACGAUCUUGAGUUAGCAGCUAUUGUGUUUGCUUUGAAGAUCUGGAGACAUUAUCUCUAUGGCGAGAAAUGUAAGAUCUUUACAGAUCAUAAAAGCCUUAAGUACCUUUUCACUUAGCAUGAUCUUAAUCUUCGUCAGAGAAGAUGGUUGGAAUUGUUAAGUGAUUAUGAUUGCACGAUUGAGUACCAUCCGGGUCGUGCAAAUGUGGUAGCUGAUGCUCUGAGUAGAAAACCUCAAGGGCGACUUAAUGCUUUGUAUGCCAGUCGUGUUUCUCUUCUUGCAGAGUUGAGAUCUACUGGAGUAGAGUUAGAAUUGGAAGAGCAAAGUGAAGCUUUUCUUGCCAAUUUUCAAGUCAAGCCAAUUUUAAUUGAUCGGGUGCUUACAGCUCAAUCGUUGGAUGAAGAAAUUCAAGAAUUGAUCAGUUUAAGAAAGGAAAGCUAAGCCCCAGGUACAUUGGACCUUAUGAGAUCACUGAGAGGAUUGGUGAAGUUGCUUACAGGUUGGAGCUACCUCCAGAGUUGUCUAAGGUACAUAAUGUGUUCCAUGUCUCGAUGCUUCGACAUUAUGUUUCAGAUCCUUCACAUGUGAUUCCUCCUCAACCAUUGGAAAUUAAUCCGGACUUGACGUACGAUGAGGAACCAGUGACUAUACUGGAUUGGAAAGAUAAAACUUUGAGGAAUAAGACCGUGAACUUGGUAAAAGUAUUGUGGAGAAACCAUUCAGCGGAAGAAGCUACAUGGGAGACAGAAGAACGGAUGAGAGAUAUGUAUCCGAGGCUAUUUUAUGAGUAUUGAGGGUUUGGUUGGUGACUGGAAUUUCGGGGACGAAAUUCUAUAAGGAGGGGAGAUUGUCACAGCCCGUCCCAGAAUUACUUAAUACCGAGGACGUGAAAUUACAGAAACGCCCUUAAACGGGAUUAAGGUGCGUAAUUUUGACAUUUGUUUUACUUUAAGAUCCUAAACUAGGGUUAGAAUUAUAUAUUUGUAUGUGUUAAUAUUAUAUGGGUUAAGGUAGGGCCUUAUACCCUAAAUCCCUCCCCAAAACCCGUUUUGUUGUCUCUCUCUCAUCUCCCUAGUCACUCUCUCUCUCUUAUUCUUCAGAAAACACUCUCUCACUCUCUCUCUUACUCUCAUUCUCUCUCAAACUCUCGGACAAACACCCAAGACCUUGAAAACUUCACAAGUUAAGGUUGAGGAAGGUAGCAUCGUGUUCGUAAGGACCAUACGAACACAUUGAUAUUGUUUUCAGGUAAGAUUUCCCACGAUUCCAUGUAGAAAACUUAAGCUCCGAGAUUGCUACUGUUCAUGAACUUAAAUUUGGUUGUGUUUUAGGUUAAACAAAGAUCACCACGAGUCUUAGGAAGUCCCAAGGAGGCUCGGAGUGCCUCAUUUGAACAAAAUGGACGUCGGGAUCGUCGGGUUCGAGUUUGGCCGAAAUUGAGGAAUUUUGGAAGGUAUGAUCUCGUAGUUUUUAGGCCUUAAAACCCUUCCAACGUGAUAAUGCUUCAUUUUGGUGUAAAAUUCGAAGAAAUUGGACGAAAAACGAAGGAGAAUAGUGGAUUUGAAAAUUUUCCAGAAACCGGCGACCGGCGACUCGCCGGAGAAGACAGGGAAUCUUCCGUCAAGUUUGACGGAAUAUUCCGACGCCGUUAGUUAACUUUAACGGAAACCGUUAGUUUUUAACGGAAUAUUCCGGGAAUAUUCCUAACGCCGUUCACUGUACCGUCAGUGUGCCUGGCACGUGGCUGCGCGUGGGCCGCGCGUAGGUCCGUGCCACGUCAGGCGCGUGGGGGCGCGUGGAGCAUCCAAAAAUUAUUUUAAAAAUAUGGGGAUGAUCCUGAGGUUGUGUAGGUCACUGUGGUAUAUUCAUAUACCCAAUUUGAGCAUCGUAUGAAGAAUUUAUUACCUAGUUGGUUUAGGUGCGUUUAAUGUGCGUUAAAUGAUUGUUUUAAGUUAUUUCACUUCUAGGUGGAACUUUUAACGAGGACGAGCACAUCCAGGGCGUCAAGGGGGUUACGACCCGGCGACAUACCAGUGAGUGGGCAUUGCUUUCUAUAUAUAUACUUAUAUACUCGAUUUCCCCAGAAAUCAAAUUUAAAUGAAAAAUAUAUUGAAAUGAAAUGAAAUAUGAUGUGAUUGCCAUGCAUAGAAUGUUAUGGAUAUUAUGAACUGUCGUAUGAUGCAUAUAUGUAUGAUGGUGCUGUGGACGCACAGGUAAGUAUUUAAUUACUGUUAUGUUGAGGAUGAUGAUAUAUUGAGCUCAUAUCCUGCACCAUGGUUUAGUGCUUAUAGUAUUCACCGCAUCGCAACGCUCGCCUUGGAUCCAAGUAGAUGCUGGUCGUACAGUCCACGCGGAGUGGGUACGACGGGCCAGUCGUAGAAUGUUUAGUGAGAUUAUGACUGGUGGGUGACCUUAGGUUAUUGUAUACAGAUGAUUGAUGAGAGAAGCACUUGAGCGAAUAUUACCAUGAGUCGUUCAGACUGCAUUAGGUGGUUCCGACUUAUGUGCAGAAGGCCGGACAGGUCACGCGGAGUGACUCCGGCAGAGAGUGAGAUUGAUAGAUGUUGAGCUCUAGGUUCAAUCGUUCAGGAC